GGGGGUGUAAGGGUUUCGACGGGGGUAUGGAGGCGGGACCAGCGGGCGGCGGCGCCUGACCGCCAUAAAACGGGCAAAUUAUAAAUUAAAUAACAACAACACUGUUGCUGUUGCUGCCUAAUUAAAGGCAGCCGUCCGACCCGGAAGGACCGCGAGCCGGGAAGGGCGUCGUUUAGCGGUAAAUGUGCGUACGGUAAGCUUUGCCCGUGCCACACAUGAUGAAGCUCACCUGAGAUGUCGGCGUGACGGUUUGCCGUCUUCAAGGGGAACGGGAGGAGUAAGACCUCCGCAAUAAUCGUCUGCGCCCGGAGAAAGUCCCGUUAAAGUGCUUUCGGACGCGGGUUCAACUCCCGCCACCUCCACCA
rnacentral:tmRNA from 1 species